UGGGGAAUAUUGGACAAUGGGCGCAAGCCUGAUCCAGCCAUGCCGCGUGAGUGAUGAAGGCCUUAGGGUUGUAAAGCUCUUUCGUCAGGGAAGAUAAUGACGGUACCUGAAGAAGAAGCCCCGGCUAACUUCGUGCCAGCAGCCGCGGUAAUACGAAGGGGGCUAGCGUUGCUCGGAAUCACUGGGCGUAAAGCGCACGUAGGCGGCUUUCUAAGUCAGGGGUGAAAUCCCGGAGCUCAACUCCGGAACUGCCUUUGAUACUGGAAAGCUUGAGUUCGGGAGAGGUGAGUGGAACUGCGAGUGUAGAGGUGAAAUUCGUAGAUAUUCGCAAGAACACCAGUGGCGAAGGCGGCUCACUGGCCCGAUACUGACGCUGAGGUGCGAAAGCGUGGGGAGCAAA
rnacentral:rRNA from 1 species